rnacentral:rRNA from 1 species
GAUGAACGCUGGCGGCGUGCCUAAUACAUGCAAGUCGAGCGAACAGACGAGGAGCUUGCUCCUCUGACGUUAGCGGCGGACGGGUGAGUAACACGUGGAUAACCUACCUAUAAGACUGGGAUAACUUCGGGAAACCGGAGCUAAUACCGGAUAAUAUAUUGAACCGCAUGGUUCAAUAGUGAAAGACGGUUUUGCUGUCACUUAUAGAUGGAUCCGCGCCGCAUUAGCUAGUUGGUAAGGUAACGGCUUACCAAGGCAACGAUGCGUAGCCGACCUGAGAGGGUGAUCGGCCACACUGGAACUGAGAUACGGUUCAGACUCCUACGGGAGGCAGCAGUAGGGAAUCUUCCGCAAUGGGCGAAAGCCUGACGGAGCAACGCCGCGUGAGUGAUGAAGGUCUUCGGAUCGUAAAACUCUGUUAUUAGGGAAGAACAAAUGUGUAAGUAACUAUGCACGUCUUGACGGUACCUAAUCAGAAAGCCACGGCUAACUACGUG